rnacentral:pre_miRNA from 1 species
AAAUUACUCCCUCCGUCCCAAAAUUCUUGUCUUAGAUUUGUCCAGAUACGGAUGUAUCAAGUCACAUUUUAGUAUUAGAUACAUCCGUAUCUAGACAAAUCUAAGACAAGAAAUUUGGGACAGAGGGAGUAGUUG